AUUCUGGCUCAGGAUGAACGCUAGCUACAGGCUUAACACAUGCAAGUCGAGGGGCAGCAUGUGGUUGCUUGCAACCAAUGAUGGCGACCGGCGCACGGGUGAGUAACGCGUAUCCAACUCCCCUAGUAGAGGAUAGCCCGGCGAAAGUCGGAUUAAUACUCUAUGUUCUUCAAUGCGGACAUCUAAGUUGAAGCAAAGAUUUAUCGCUAAGGGAUGGGGAUGCGUCUGAUUAGGUUGCAGGCGGGGUAACGGCCCACCUGGCCUACGAUCAGUAGGGGUCCUGAGAGGAAGGUCCCCCACACUGGUACUGAGACACGGACCAGACUCCUACGGGAGGCAGCAGUGAGGAAUAUUGGUCAAUGGGCGCGAGCCUGAACCAGCCAAGUAGCGUGCAAGGGACGACUGCCCUAUGGGUUGUAAACUGCUUUUAUCAGGGAAUAAAGUGAGGCACGCGUGCCUUUUUGUAUGUACCUGAUGAAUAAGGACCGGCUAAUUCCGUGCCAGCCGCUGC
rnacentral:rRNA from 1 species